GGUCUCCGGCCAUACCCACCAGAUCCAUAUUCAGAUUCUUGUUUCCUUCCAUACCCAGAUCCAUAUUCCUCACUUGAUGGCCUUUCAUAUCCACCACCAGAUCCAUAUUCUGACUCCGGUCUCCGGCCAUAACCACCAGAGCCAUAUUCAGAAUCCUGUUUCCUGCCAUGUCCAGAUCCAUAAUCCUCACCAGAUGGCCUCUCAUACUCGGUUCCUCCGCCAUAUCCACCAGACCCAUAUUCUGAAUCAGGUCUCCGACCAUAACCCGAUGGCUUCUCAUACUCACUUACACCACCAUACCCACCAGAUCCAGGCUGGAAUCCAGGAGCAGCGUGAGGCCUAGAAUACGGAUCCCCACCAAUACCACC
rnacentral:lncRNA from 1 species